UACGUAGGUGGCAAGCGUUGUCCGGAUUUACUGGGCGUAAAGAGCGCGCAGGCGGUCGUUCAAGUCGCGUGUGAAAGCCCCCGGCUCAACUGGGGAGGGUCACGCGAUACUGAUCGACUCGAAGGCAGGAGAGGGAAGUGGAAUUCCCGGUGUAGUGGUGAAAUGCGUAGAUAUCGGGAGGAACACCAGUGGCGAAGGCGACUUCCUGGCCUGUUCUUGACGCUGAUGCGCGAAAGCCAGGGGAGCAAACGGG
rnacentral:rRNA from 1 species